UACGGGGGGAGCAAGCGUUGUUCGGAUUUACUGGGCGUAAAGGGCGCGUAGGCGGCGCAACAAGUCACUUGUGAAAUCUCCGGGCUUAACUCGGAACGGUCAAGUGAUACUGUUGUGCUAGAGUGCGGAAGGGGCAACUGGAAUUCUCGGUGUAGCGGUGAAAUGCGUAGAUAUCGAGAGGAACACCUGCGGCGAAGGCGGGUUGCUGGGCCGACACUGACGCUGAUGCGCGAAAGCCCAGGGGAGCGAACGGG
rnacentral:rRNA from 1 species